rnacentral:rRNA from 1 species
GAGACGAAACAAGUGAUGUGGAGUAAAACUUAUAAAAGCGACCUCAGUUCGGAUUGAAGGCUGAAAUUCGCCUUCAUGAAGUCGGAAUUGCUAGUAAUGGCAGGUCAGCAUACUGCCGUGAAUACGUUCCCGGGCCUUGUACACACCGCCCGUCACACCAUGAGAGUUGGAGAUACCCGAAGCCUAUGAGCUAACUUUUAGAGGCAGUAGUCGAAGGUAGAAUCAAUGAUUGGGGUGAAGUCGUAACAAGGUAUC